rnacentral:rRNA from 1 species
AGCGGCGGACGGGUGAGUAACGCGUGGGCAACCUGCCUUACACAGGGGGAUAACAGUUAGAAAUGACUGCUAAUACCGCAUAAGACCACAGGACUGCAUGGUCCGGUGGUAAAAACUCCGGUGGUGUAAGAUGGGCCCGCGUCUGAUUAGGUAGUUGGCGGGGUAACGGCCCACCAAGCCGACGAUCAGUAGCCGACCUGAGAGGGUGACCGGCCACAUUGGGACUGAGACACGGCCCAGACUCCUACGGGAGGCAGCAG